GGGAUUUUAUCCUUUUCCGGCCACCGCAGACUGCGGUGCCGGCGUCGAAGAUCAGCGACCGGCGUGGUGGCCGAUGACCGGCCGAUGGCCGGACUGAACGCCAGACGACGGGGAAGGGGAGAGCUUUUUGAAGGUUUUUUUGUUUUGUUUUGUUUUUUUUUGAAGAAGGCUUAAAAUGAAUUUUUUUUGGGAGUUAGUGGCUUAAAUAGCCUAGUGAAACGACGCCGUUUCACAAGGCCUCCAAAGGUGCUAAAACGACGCCGUUUUGGGGAGGUCGACCUGACUCCGACUCGACCCAGCCUAGGAUCCGCGUGUUUUUGAGCGGAGGGUUUUAGAGGAGAAGGGGAAAUUUCCCUUCCAACCCUUCUAUGUAAUUCGCGCGCUCAAUCAAGUCCACCAGUCUUCAAUUAUUUGCGAUUUUAUCCCAGAUUUUUGCCUACAGUUCAAUUUAGCCCUUUUUUUUCUUUUCUUUAUUUUUAAUUAAUAAUGUAAUUA
rnacentral:lncRNA from 1 species